CUCUGGUUUAAAAAAAAAUCCCAAACUACCUCAUUUUUAGGAGGAGGCGCCAAUUCAAUUGGCGCUUCCUCUUAAAUACUUGAAUGGAGGCGGCAAUUGGAUUGGUUAGGGCAGGUGCCCUAGCCAAGUGGGUUGACGCCCCUGUGUAGUACUUAAGAGGAGACGCCAAUUCAAUUGGAGUCUCAGUGUAAAAUGAUUUUUUUUAUAAAUGGUAUACGUGAUAGAUA
rnacentral:lncRNA from 1 species